rnacentral:sRNA from 1 species
AGCAGCCGCGGUAAUUCCAGCUCCAAUAGCGUAUAUUAAAGUUGUUGCAGUUAAAAAGCUCGUAGUUGAAUUUCGGGGUUAGUAGGCUGGUCGUGCCACAGGUAUGAACUGGUCUUACUGACUUCUCCUUUCUGAAGAACUGUAAUGCCAUUAAUUUGGUGUUGCAGGGAAACAGGACUGUUACUUUGAAAAAAUUAGAGUGUUUAAAGCAGGCUAACGCUUGAAUACAUUAGCAUGGAAUAAUGAAAUAGGACGUUCGAUCCUAUUUUGUUGGUUUCUAGGAUUGACGUAAUGAUUAAUAGGGAUAGUUGGGGGCAUUAGUAUUCAAUUGUCAGAGGUGAAAUUCUUGGAUUUAUUGAAGACUAACUACUGCGAAAGCAUUUGCCAAGGAUGUUUUCAUUAAUCAAGAACGAAAGUUAGGGGAUCGAAGACGAUCAGAUACCGUCGUAGUCUUAACCAUAAACUAUGCCGACUAGGGAUCGGAUGAUGUUAAUUUUUUAAUGUACUCAUUCGGCGCCUU